rnacentral:rRNA from 1 species
AGCGAACGCUGGCGGCAGGCUUAACACAUGCAAGUCGAGCGGGCGUAGCAAUACGUCAGCGGCAGACGGGUGAGUAACGCGUGGGAACGUACCUUUUUGGUUCGGAACAACACAGGGAAACUUGUGCUAAUACCGGAUAAGCCCUUACGGGGAAAGAUUUUAUCGCCGAAAGAUCGGCCCGCGUCUGAUUAGCUAGUUGGUGAGGUAACGGCUCACCAAGGCGACGAUCAGUAGCUGGUCUGAGAGGAUGAUCAGCCACAUUGGGACUGAGCACGGCCCAAACUCCUACGGAGGCAGCAGUGGGAAUAUUGGACAAUGGGACGC